rnacentral:sRNA from 1 species
ACUAAUAAUAAUAAUAACCCACCGGGGGUAACUAAUAAUAACCCACCGGGGGUAACUGACCGAUAAUAAUAACCCCACCGGGGGUAACUAAUAAUAAUACCCCCAGUGGGGUUAUUAUUAUUAGUUACCCCCGGUGAGGUUAUUAUUAUUAUUAUUAGUUACCUCCGGUGGGGUUAACUAAUAAUAAUAACCCCACCGGGGGUAACUAAUCAUAAUAAUAAUAUUAUUAUUAGUUACCCCCGGUGGGAUUAUUAUUAUUAGUUACCCCCGGUGAGGUUAUUAUUAUUAUUAGUU